AGAUCCCGGCCAGCAAGGAGUUGAAAUCACAGAAGAACAAGUUUGUGAGUGUCCAGGCGGCCUUUGGGAAUGCCCCGCCAGUGGAGAAGGUGGUGCUAGUCAGCUUUCAGAGCGGGUAUCUCUUCAUCCAGACAGACAAGACCAUCUACACCCCAGGCUCCACAGUCCUCUAUCGGAUCUUCACUGUGGACCACGAGCUGUUGCCUGCGAACCAGAAGGUUAUCGUCAGCAUUGAGGUACCAGGCAGCCGGGGCCCCAGACACACUUGGGGCAGAGACUCAAGGAGAGACUGAGAGUUUGAGAUAGAGAAAGA